UGCAGGCGAGCGGGGCGUGCGACUCGCCGAGAGCGAGACAGUUUGCGCCCGAGCAAGCACGCUCGUGCGCUCGGCCGCGCGGACGCUCCGCCCGGCGCCCUGCCGGCCGAGCGCCACCGAUCGAGACGCGCGCUGAAUGAUGCGUGGAGGGGAGGCGGCUGGUGCACCCCCGGUGGAAGAUCCGCGCGCCGGGCAUCCAGAGCUCCCGCGGAGCGGAGGCGGAGCGAGUUGUGCUCGCGCCACUCCCUCUCCUGCUCUCCCUCUGCGCUCCAGGUGCUCGCGGAAAUGCCGCGCAGCUUGACACCUCCGCCGGCCAUUGUGCUUGGAGCGCCAUGAGCGACAGGCGCAGACAUCACACCUCCCUGGUCUCUGUCUAACCGCGUCCUCUCCAUUUCCUUGAGACCGUGAGCCCUGAGCGUGCAGACACCACGCGACCACGGCGAGCACUCGUCGUCUCGUCAAGGUCAAGGUCAAGCACUCGUCGUCUCGCCUCUGUCUAAGCAUUGUCGUCACUCACCUUCCAGGAAGUUUCGCGGAGCCGGAGACUGCCUCUGCCGAUUGCGCAUUUUCUUUGCGUCUGCAGUCAGCCUCUCAUGUCUAGCAGUACACGCGUUCAUUGCAGUCAAAGGUCAAGCAGAAUCGACAACACCAUGGCCACCCAUGUCCCACAGAACACUGUACUGUGUGGCUAUCUGCUCCACCCACCUCUACCGCUACUUCAGGACAGGAUCGAGGCAGACAGUUUCUCGUGUGCUGCUCGCAGUUAAACAGCUGACAGGCAAUCUACUCUGCUUCAAUCCCAAGAAGGAGAGAGGUGGUGCAGAUAUGGCGCAGUGGAACGGCAUGGAGCAGGCAGCGACUAUCGCGCAGCUGGUGGGGGUGGAUGCGUUGGGGCUCAUCUCGACGAUUGUACAGGCAGCACAGACAGUUCAGCGCAACAAGGAGACCUGCCAGGAGCUUGUGCAGGAUGUGCAGUUGAUAAAUGGCCUGCUACGGAUGCUGCAAAACCCAGAAAUGAUUUAGCGAGAAGAGAUUGUAAAUGCACUCAAUGGGCUGGAGGGGACGCUCCGGGAGGCGUACAGCCUCGUCAGCUCCUGCCAGGACUGCAGCACCACAUAUCGCAUAUUCAUGGAAUGGAAACACACUGACCAGUUCCGACGCGUGAAGAAGAAGAUUGCCAAGCACCUCCGCUUCUACCCUAUGAUCUUCCAUGCUGACAUAACUUGUCGUCUCGAAAGAAUAAGCAACGGCACGCUGUCGACGUGCUCAUCUCAGGACGCAGGAGGAGUGCUGACAUCAUCUAUCAGUCACUCAAACUCUGAAGCUCAGUCAGAAUUCAUCAAUUUGGUCUACGUACUUACUUUGUUAGCAAGCACAAGGAAAUAGAGAUACUUAAUCUGUUGCUUGGUUACUGCAAGAAGUGGCCACAACAUUAUUUCCAAAACAUUUAGUUACAUACAUAAAAUAGUUACUUUUAUCUCUUAACCAUGAAUUUUCAGGACUGAAUGUAGUUUACGGCCUGUUGAAUUAGAAAGAUCGCAGGCAUGCAGGAGCGCUGAGUCCAUUGCUGUUGAGGAACACCAGCUAACAAGUUACCAGGAAAUUGCUGAACCUUUUGCUAGGAAGCAGAAGUUCCGGUGGGGUCACUGUUUGCCCUGGAAAAUGGUAGAAACAGCUCCUUGUAUUCAUGAACUCAACGGAUCAGGGUUUUCAGGUUUUCAUUUCUCCCAAUUGUUGGCUGCUACAAAUAAUUUUGCAUUCCAAUGCAAAAUUAGAAGUUGUGGAUACGCUGAUGUGUAUAAGGGACGAUUGGACAGUGGACUUGAAGUCAUGAUCAAAAGAUUUCAUCAAAAUAACUCCCAUUCUUCACUCACAUUUGAAAAUGAAGUCCGCUUUCAUGCAAAGCUUCUACACAAAAACGUUGCUAAGCUCAUUGGAUGUUGCAGUGAAAGAGGAGAAGCACUUUUAGUCUAUGAAUCUCUACCAAAUGGGAGUUUGUCUGACACGGUAACUGGAACAAGGGUGUCGCUCAACUGGUCUGAGCGCUUCAAAAUAAUUUUAGGGAUAGCCCGCGGGGUGGCCUAUCUACAUGAUUGCUGUGGGAUACAAAUUAUGCAUGGGGAUUUAAAUCCACAAAGGAUUCUCUUAGAUUCUUACAUGACUCCUAAGAUUACUGAUUUUGCUUUUGCAAAAGUGUGUAGUCCGGAUGGGCGUGAACGACACAAGGGUAGUUUACUCGGUACAAGGGGUUAUAUGGAUCCUGGAUAUGUUAUUGACCGUAUCUACUCAGUUAAGAGUGACGUGUAUAGCUUCGGUAUCACUCUUCUUGAGAUAAUUACUGCAAAGAGGCCCGAUGCACUUUUCAAGGAUGCAGGUGAUCUUGUCAGAUUGCCGACAAUGGCAGGAUCAAUGGAGAUGUACCACAUGAUAGAUCCAGCAUUGCAUGGUGAAUCAAAAAUGGCCGAGAUAAUGAGAUGCAUUCAGAUCGCGGUAUGGUGCUCCAGGCCCAAUGCGGGAGACCGGCCCAGCAUGUGGGAUGUUCUUCUGAUGCUCAGCUGCGAGAGUGCAACCUUACGUGUGCCGGAGCCAUCCCAGAGCCAGUGCGACACACAGGAGCCGUGUGAAGGGGUGCUAUCGGAUUCGGAGAUAACUGAACCAAGAUAGUACUCCUUUGGGCGAUUCAAGGCCACAGAUUUCAUCGGGAUCUACAUGGCGCCCAGAGGAUAUUUAAUCGACGCCAUCAUGUGUAUCAAACUUGAGUAUGGAGUAAUGAAAAACUGGAUGGGUGAUCCAUGUUUCCCAACCAAAUAUGCAUGGGACGGCGUGAAAUGUAGCAGCACAACUGGUAACGCUACGAGGAUAAUAUCUCUAAAUUUGUCAGUCAACCGUCUGAAUGGCUCGCUUCCAGAUUCCCUCUGUAAAAAUAAUGCAGGAUCUUACGUUUUCAGGUUUGGGUUUUCCUGUUAACCUUUUUUUCUAUUAAUAUGCGUCCAAAUGUGAAAUGUGGAGUGUUCUUCUUUCUGCGAUCUUACACAUGUACGGAUGUAACAAAUUUAAGAUUGUCUUCCACACCAAAUACUCUGAACUGAUUGUAGUAAGUAAUUUAAGGUAUGAAUCUGAUCAAGACAUGUGCAACCAAACAAUUAGCCCGUCUUCAUCGAGAAAUAGAACAUCUAUCAUAUCUAUUUCAGUAUUGGUUCCUGCACUGGUAGUGGCUGUACUUGUCAUUUCAUAUCUGGUCUGGAGGCAGAAAAGAAAGCCUAACAGUGAGUGUGCUCUUAUGGUCUUAUCUUCUAUAACAUGUAUCAAUGGGGAUUAUCAUGGUUUACCAUAUUUAGUAUUUAUGUUAUAUCUAUCAUUUGCACGACCAGUUUCUACUCGUGAUCCUGCCACAGGCAGAACUUGUGGGAGCUCCAGUUAGUAGGAAAGGUCACAGGGAGCACCUGGAAAAUACUGAGAAUCGCCGAUUCACAUACAAGGAGUUGGAGAAGUUUACAAAUAAGUUUGAAAGGUUCAUUGGACAAGGAGGUUUUGGGCUUGUAUACUAUGGUCGUUUAGAAGACAAUACUGAGGUUGCUGUCAAGAACUCAAGAUGCGUUGAAAGGUUCAUUGGACAAGGAGGUCUUGGGCUUGUAUACUAUGGUCGUUUAGAAGACAAUACUGAGGUUGCUGUCAAGAUGUGUUCCGAGUCCUCGUCACAUGGACCCGAUGAGUUCUUAGCUGAGGUUCAGAGCUUGACAAAGGUGUAUCACAGGAAUCUAGUAUCAUUGGUUGGUUUCUGCUGGGAGAAAGAUCAUUUGGCACUGGUUUAUGAGUACAUGUCUCAAGGCAAUCUUUAUGAUCAUCUGAGAGGUUUGUCCAUUGCAAACGUAACCACUGAUUACGUGAUUAAGAGAGAACAACUGUGUAGCGGUCUCAGAUCGCAUACAAUUUCUGUGCAUUGUUCAAGACAUUGUCUCAAUUCCGAAGUAGUUUUCGGCUAUCUACGUCUCU